rnacentral:rRNA from 1 species
UGAGGAAUAUUGGUCAAUGGUCGCUAGACUGAACCAGCCAAGUAGCGUGCGGGAUGAAGGCCCUCCGGGUCGUAAACCGCUUUUAGACGGGGAUAAAAGGGCGUACGUGUACGCCGUAUCGCGUGUACCGUCAGAAAAAGGACCGGCUAAUUCCGUGCCAGCAGCCGCGGUAAUACGGAAGGUCCGGGCGUUAUCCGGAUUUAUUGGGUUUAAAGGGAGCGUAGGCGGACUUUCAAGUCAGUGGUAAAAUCGUGUGGCUCAACCAUACCUCGCCAUUGAAACUGGAAGUCUGGAGUGCACACAGGGGUGCCGGAAUUCAUGGUGUAGCGGUGAAAUGCUUAGAUAUCAUGAAGAACUCCGAUCGCGAAGGCAAGUGCCCGGGGUGCAACUGACGCUGAGGCUCGAAGGUGCGGGUAUCGAACAGGAUUAGAUACC